AUUGAACGCUGGCGGCAUGCCUUACACAUGCAAGUCGAGCGGUAACAGGUCUACGGAUGCUGACGAGUGGCGAACGGGUGAGUAAUACAUCGGAACGUGCCUAGUAGUGGGGGAUUACUACUCGAAAGAGUGGCUAAUACCGCAUGAGAUCUACGGAUGAAAGCAGGGGAUCGCAAGACCUUGUGCUACUAGAGCGGCCGAUGGCAGAUUAGGUAGUUGGUGGGAGAAAAGCUUAACAAGCAGACGAUCUGUAGCUGGUAUGAGAGGACGAUCAGCCACACUGGGAAUGAGACACGGCCCAGACUCCUACGGGAGGCAGCAGUGGGGAAUUUUGGACAAUGGGCGCAAGCCUGAUCCAGCAAUACCGCGUGCAGGAUGAAGGCCUUCGGGUUGUAAACUGCUUUUGUACGGAACGAAAAGCCCCGGGUUAAUACCCUGGGGUCAUGACGGUACCGUAAGAAUAAGCACCGGCUAACUACGUGCCAGCCGCCGCAGUAA
rnacentral:rRNA from 1 species